rnacentral:rRNA from 1 species
UACGUAGGGGGGCAAGCGUUGUCCGGAUUUAUUGGGCGUAAAGAGCGUGUAGGCGGCCUGACAGGUCUGCUGUGAAAACUCGAGGCUCAACCUCGAGAUGUCGGCGGAAACCGUCUGGCUAGAGUCCGGAAGAGGAGAGUGGAAUUCCUGGUGUAGCGGUGAAAUGCGCAGAUAUCAGGAAGAACACCUAUGGCGAAGGCAGCUCUCUGGGACGGUACUGACGCUGAGACGCGAAAGCGUGGGGGAGCGAACAGG